rnacentral:rRNA from 1 species
AGCGCCUCGAGUGGUACCCACGAAUAUUGGGCCUAAAGCGUCCGUAGCCGGACUGAUUAGUCCACUGUGAAAUGUUGGGGCUCAACCCUAACGCGUGCAGUGGAUACUGUCAGCCUUGGGAACGGGGGAGGGUCGGAGUACUUCCAGGGUAGGGGUAAAAUCCGUUGAGCCUGGAAGGACUACCAGUGGCGAAGGCGCCGAUCCAAAACGUAUCCGACGGUGAGGGACGAAAGCUGGGGGAGCGAACGG